rnacentral:rRNA from 1 species
AGAAAGCGGGGGAUCGUAAGACCUCGUGUUAUAGGAGCGGCCGAUGUCGGAUUAGCUAGUUGGUGGGGUAAAGGCCUACCAAGGCGACGAUCCGUAGCGGGUCUGAGAGGACGGCCCGCCACACUGGGACUGAGACACGGCCCAGACUCCUACGGGAGGCAGCAGUGGGGAAUUUUGGACAAUGGGGGCAACCCUGAUCCAGCCAUGCCGCGUGGGUGAAGAAGGCCUUCGGGUUGUAAAGCUCUUUCGGCCGGGAAGAAAUCGCGCCAGCUAAUACCUGGUGUGGAUGACGGUACCGGAAGAAGAAGCACCGGCUAACUACGUGCCAGCAGCCGCGGUAAUACGUAGGGUGCGAGCGUUAAUCGGAAUUACUGGGCGUAAAGCGUGCGCAGGCGGUUUCGUAAGACAGAUGUGAAAUCCCCGGGCUUAACCUGGGAACUGCGUUUGUGACUGCGAGACUUGAGUGCGGCAGAGGGGGGUGGAAUUCCACGUGUAGCAGUGAAAUGCGUAGAG